rnacentral:rRNA from 1 species
AGUAAAGUGGCGAAUGGGUGAGUAACGCGUAGAUAAUAUACCUCUAAGUGGGGGACAGCCCCGGGAAACUGGGAUUAAUACCGCAUGUGCCAGAGAUGGUAAAGGUGGCCUCUGCUUGCAAGCUAUCGCUUAGAGAUUAGUCUGCGUCCUAUUAGCUAGUUGGUGAGGUAAAGGCUCACCAAGGCGAUGAUAGGUAGGCGGCCUUAACGGGUGGUCGCCCACACUGGGAUUGAGAUACGGCCCAGACUCC